rnacentral:rRNA from 1 species
CAAUAGCGUAUAUUAAAGUUGCUGCGGUUAAAAAGCUCGUAGUUGGAUCUCGGCAGGCAGGGGGUGGUUCGCUCUUAGCGCUACUGCCCCAUUUGCCUGUGUGAUUGGCGGAGGUUUCGGGGUGCUCUUCGUUGAGUGACCCGGGGCGCCGUCAGGUUUACUUUGAAAAAAUUAGAGUGCUCAAAGCAGGCUUUUCACGCUUGAAUAUUCGUGCAUGGAAUAAUGGAAUAGGAACUCGUUUCUAUUUUGUUGGUUUUCGGAAAUCGAGUUAAUGAUUAAUAGGGACAAUUGGGGGCAUUAGUAUUCAGACGACAGAGGUGAAAUUCUUGGACCGUCUGAAGACUAACUACUGCGAAAGCAUUUGCCAAGAGUGUUUUCAUUAA